UACGGGGGGGGGCAAGCGUUGUUCGGAAUUACUGGGCGUAAAGGGCUCGUAGGCGGCCAACUAAGUCAGACGUGAAAUCCCUCGGCUUAACCGGGGAACUGCGUCUGAUACUGGAUGGCUUGAGGUUGGGAGAGGGAUGCGGAAUUCCAGGUGUAGCGGUGGAAAUGCGUAGAUAUCUGGAGGAACACCGGUGGCGAAGGCGGCAUCCUGGACCAAUUUCUGACGCUGAGGAGCGAAAGCCAGGGAGCAAACGGG
rnacentral:rRNA from 1 species